rnacentral:rRNA from 1 species
CCUACGGGAGGCAGCAGUGGGGAAUAUUGGACAAUGGGCGAAAGCCUGAUCCAGCAAUGCCGCGUGAGUGAUGAAGGCCUUAGGGUCGUAAAGCUCUUUUACCAGGGAUGAUAAUGACAGUACCUGGAGAAUAAGCUCCGGCUAACUCCGUGCCAGCAGCCGCGGUAAUACGGAGGGAGCUAGCGUUGUUCGGAAUUACUGGGCGUAAAGCGUGCGUAGGCGGUUAUUCAAGUCAGAGGUGAAAGCCCGGGGCUCAACCCCGGAACGGCCUUUGAAACUAGAUAACUAGAAUCUUGGAGAGGUCAGUGGAAUUCCGAGUGUAGAGGUGAAAUUCGUAGAUAUUCGGAAGAACACCAGUGGCGAAGGCGACUGACUGGACAAGUAUUGACGCUGAGGUACGAAAGCGUGGGGAGCAAACAGGAUUAGAUACCCGUGGUAGUCCACGCCGUAAACGAUGAUAACUAGCUGUCCGGACACUUGGUGUUUGGGUGGCGCAGCUAACGCAUUAAGUUAUCCGCCUGGGGAGUACGGUCGCAAGAUUAAAACUCAAAGGAAUUGACG